AUUGAACGCUGGCGGCAGGCCUAACACAUGCAAGUCGAACGAGUGGCGGACGGGUGAGUAAUGUCUGGGAAACUGCCUGAUGGAGGGGGAUAACUACUGGAAACGGUAGCUAAUACCGCAUACCAUCGGAUGUGCCCAGAUGGGAUUAGCUUGUAGGUGAGGUAACGGCUCACCUAGGCGACGAUCCCUAGCUGGUCUGAGAGGAUGACCAGCCACACUGGAACUUAGACACGUGCCAGACUCCUACGGGAGGCAGCAGUGGGGAAUAUUGCACAAUGGGCGCCAGCCUGAUGCAGCCAUGCCGCGUGUAUGAAGAAGGCCUUCGGGUUGUAAAGUACUUUCAGCGGGGAGGCGUUACCCGCAGAAGAAGCACCGGCGAACUCCGUGCCAGCAUCCGCGGUAAUUC
rnacentral:rRNA from 1 species